rnacentral:rRNA from 1 species
UACAGAGGGGGCAAGCGUUGUUCGGAAUUACUGGGCGUAAAGGGCGCGUAGGCGGCCUGCUAAGUCGAACGUGAAAUCCCUGGGCUCAACCCAGGAACUGCGUCCGAUACUGGUUGGCUUGAAUCCGGGAGAGGGAUGCGGAAUUCCAGGUGUAGCGGUGAAAUGCGUAGAUAUCUGGAGGAACACCGGUGGCGAAGGCGGCAUCCUGGACCGGGCAUUGACGCUGAGGCGCAAAAGCCAGGGGAGCAAACGGG